CACAUGCAAGUCGAGGGGAAACGACAUCGAAAGCUUGCUUUCGAUGGGCGUCGACCGGCGCACGGGUGAGUAACGCGUAUCCAACCUGCCCACCACUUGGGGAUAACCUUGCGAAAGUAAGACUAAUACCCAAUGAUAUCUCUAGAAGACAUCUGAAAGAGAUUAAAGAUUUAUCGGUGAUGGAUGGGGAUGCGUCUGAUUAGCUUGUUGGCGGGGUAACGGCCCACCAAGGCGACGAUCAGUAGGGGUUCUGAGAGGAAGGUCCCCCACAUUGGAACUGAGACACGGUCCAAACUCCUACGGGAGGCAGCAGUGAGGAAUAUUGGUCAAUGGACGAGAGUCUGAACCAGCCAAGUAGCGUGCAGGAAGACGGCCCUAUGGGUUGUAAACUGCUUUUAUAAGGGAAUAAAGUGAGUCUCGUGAGACUUUUUGCAUGUACCUUAUGAAUAAGGACCGGCUAAUUCCGUGCCAGCAGCCGCGGUAAUACGGAAGGUCCGGGCGUUAUCCGGAUUUAUUGGGUUUAAAGGGAGCGUAGGCCGGAGAUUAAGCGUGUUGUGAAAUGUAGACGCUCAACGUCUGCACUGCAGCGCGAACUGGUCUUCUUGAGUACGCACAACGUGGGCGGAAUUCGUGGUGUAGCGGUGAAAUGCUUAGAUAUCACGAAGAACUCCGAUUGCGAAGGCAGCUCACGGGAGCGCAACUGACGCUGAAGCUCGAAAGUGCGGGUAUCGAACAGGAUUAGAUACCCUGGUAGUCCGCACGGUAAACGAUGGAUGCCCGCUGUUGGCCUGAAUAGGUCAGCGGCCAAGCGAAAGCAUUAAGCAUCCCACCUGGGGAGUACGCCGGCAACGGUGAAACUCAAAGGAAUUGACGGGGGCCCGCACAAGCGGAGGAACAUGUGGUUUAAUUC
rnacentral:rRNA from 1 species